rnacentral:lncRNA from 1 species
AUUUUCAUUAGCUCAUUCUGAGUUUUUUUAGAACUGGAUUGCUAGACACAAAUCUAAAAGCCGCAAAUUAGAUGUUGGUUUUGAUACCAUUAAAAGAAAAAAAGUAUCUUUAAAUAAUCAAGUUGUUCGUGGAUAUGAUUUGUGGAGACAAAACCAGUUAUUGUUACUCAAAGAUUCUGAUUUUGAAACAAGAAAUGUUGCUUUUAAACAACUUGGCAACAAUUGGUCAACAUUAAGUGACGAUGAAAAAGCAAGAUGGAAUAACAAAGCUAUGUUGCAGCGCAAUAGCUGUUUUCCUCUUACGAAGGAGGAGAAACAGUUAAAAUCUAAGAAGUUACUUAAACAAUUAACUAAAGUUGUGGAGGAGUUAGCAAAUCUGGGCAAUGAGGUUAUUGCUGUUACUUGUCUGGCUCAGGGUGGUGCUCCAGUAAUAACUGCUUCUGAAAAAGGAUGUCAAUUUUUACUCU